rnacentral:rRNA from 1 species
UACGAACUGUGCGAACGUUAUUCGGAAUCACUGGCUUAAAGGGUGCGUAGGCGGCUGCCUAAGUCAGGUGUGAAAUCUCCCGCUCAACCGGGAAACUGCGCUGAUACUGGGCGGCUCGAGUGAGGUGAGGGGUGUGUGGAACUUCCGGUGGAGCGGUGAAAUGUGUAGAUAUCGGAAGGAACGCCAGCAGCGAAAGCGGACACACUGGGCCUUUUCUGACGCUGAGGCACGAAAGCCAGGGGAGCGAACG